rnacentral:rRNA from 1 species
CCUACGGGUGGCAGCAGUGGGGAAUAUUGGACAAUGGGCGAAAGCCUGAUCCAGCCAUGCCGCGUGUGUGAAGAAGGCCUUCGGGUUGUAAAGCACUUUCAGUGGGGAAGAAAGCCUUGGGGCUAAUACCCUCGAGGAAGGACAUCACCCACAGAAGAAGCACCGGCUAACUCCGUGCACAGCAGCCGCGGUAAUACGGAGGGUGCGAGCGUUAAUCGGAAUUACUGGGCGUAAAGCGCGCGUAGGCGGUCUGAUAAGCCGGUUGUGAAAGCCCCGGGCUCAACCUGGGAACGGCAUCCGGAACUGUCAGGCUAGAGUGCAGGAGAGGAAGGUAGAAUUCCCGGUGUAGCGGUGAAAUGCGUAGAGAUCGGGAGGAAUACCAGUGGCGAAGGCGGCCUUCUGGACUGACACUGACGCUGAGGUGCGAAAGCGUGGGUAGCAAACAGGAUUAGAUACCCGUGUAGUC